UGGACAGAAGGACUCUAAGGAAAGGGUAACAGCAAUGGUUCCUGUUAGAAAGUAUCAUCUCUGUUGUAAUCUCAGAGACUCUGACACUGAAAUUGUUACACUUAUGAACUCUAUGGAUGCAUAAUAUUUUGGCAAUAUUGGCAUUGGUACUCCUUCCCAAAAAUUCACUGUGAUAUAUGACACAGGAAGUUCUAAACUUUGGGUACCCUCUCGUUUCUUGUUACUUCCAUUCCGACUAUAAGUCUAUCCAGUCAAGCACCUAUGGAAAAAAUGGGACAACUGCUACAAUAUGGUAAUUUCUGAUUUCUUUAGUCAGGAUAACGACAAAGUUGGUGAUCUCAUUGUUUAUAAUCAGGAUUUCAUUAACGCAACCACAGAAGUUAGCAUCACAUUCUUGGUAGUCAAGUUUGAUGGUAUAUUUGGGCUUCAAUUUCAAGAGAUAUCAGUUGGAU